ensembl:lncRNA
CUGUAAAUAAGAAGAUUGCCAUCUCGUUUUCUAGUAUGAAAUGAUUAAGUGUUUAGACCUGAAGUGGAAAACAUAACACUUAAGUUGUUUUUAAAGUGAAUAAUAAGUCUUGGUAAAUGCUUUGAUACCAAAGGUUGACCCCGAAGGAAAUUGGUUUAAGGCUGCCGACCUUUUGCCAGCGCCAUCUUACCCUUCCGAACAUACAUACAUUACACAAACAUAACAUGGGGAAGACAGGUCAGAGACGCAUAACAAUGGAAAAUCCACAACACGAGGAAAGACGAGGAGAAAAAAGAACUCCCCCCAGACUGAGCUCACACAGGGAGAUCAGUUUGAGAACAGAAAGAAACACCUCAGUACAUGAAUCAUCACAUCUCACAACAUAGAAGACAUAAGCUUCGAAGGCGUUUGGAGGGCGUGGGGGGGUGGGGGUAAGUGUAGGUCAAUCCUAACCACUAAUUCUUUCAUUUUGUUAUGAUCCUAAUCCUUAGUCCUUCCAAUGAUACAAUACAAAUAGCUAAACUUCCAUAAUUUUCAUCCCUGUCCCUGGACAUACCAGUUUUAUAAUAUACAUCACUAAUGCUUCCAACAUUGUGCUGAUGUCCUCUGUAUGCAGUGUGUCUUUGGAAACAUGCCACGCUAUGUGCACCAAACAUCUUAACUGUAUUUAAUGUUUUUGUUUAUAUUUUAUGUAUUUUUAAAAAUAAUUUCUCUUUCAACACAGUAUUGCAAGUCCUUAGUCAAGUGGGCUCCUUACAAGAAGAGGAAAAUGGAUAGAAGAGGGAGGACUCCAAUUCCUGAGGACCCUGUGAAAAGCAAUAAACCACCACUGGUGGAAAAAGAUGACCUGGAGUCACAGGAUGAAACUAGGAAGUUGGAGAUUUCUGAAGCCGUUGAAGAGCCUCAGUCCAGCAAUGAUGGUGUGCCAGUGAAUGCAGACGAUGUUGCUGAUGGGAAAGGAAAAUGACUGCCAUUAAAGACACACAAACAUAGCUACACACACACAAGCAUGCAUGCACCUGCACACAGAUGUUCAUAUACAACAAUGUUCAGAUAAAGUUCAAUAAAGUUCUUGUUGUUCAAUGGCAAAAUCCUGUGUUUUCUUUCUCACACUGAUGGAGGAUGGGAAAAGUCAAAUCUGGGAUCACCAUCAACAGUCAUGGUAUUCAGAGGAAUAUAAUGCAAGGAUUUGCAGCUGAAUCAUAACGUGAGGAGCAGCAUUGUAAUGUAAUCCUUCUCAUAUAAUACUGUUAUAUACCUACUGACUACUUGAAGCACUUUAGAUUAAAAGUCCCAUUUUAACUGUGGAUUCAAACAACAGUUUAUUCAAUAAAAGUUCAUUCAUUUCUUCGAAAAGGUGUAAUUCCAGAUUAAAGUUACAGUACACUAAUAAGAUUCACAAAACAGAUUCACUGAAUGUUAUUUAUUAUAAUUACAGAAAGGCUCCAAGUGAAUCAUCUUCAAUUCCAAGUACUAGUACCUUGUAAUAUAGGCAGAAAUAAUCAUGUGAUUGGCGUAAAGGUCUGUGUAGUGAUGAGUUUGGGCGGGAGGGGCAGUGAUGUGUGGUGAGAGUACAGCAGACUGAAAAAGGUUUGUUUCAAGGUAAGUCUAAUCAAAAUCAUGUUUCAUUUUUUU